AGGUGAUAUUCAUUCGCCACCGUCUAUGACUUCCCUGUCGUCUUCUUCUUAGCACUUGACUUCUAGAUAAUCAUGAAGACAUUUCAAAAACGCAAGAGAUACCCUUGUUUUUACACUAGCAGAUCCACCAACCUAUAACGGAAAGUAAUGGAGAAUUCAGCUGAUUUUGUAGAGAGAGUGGAUGGCAAUGGGGGAGAGACUAGAAACGACACAACAGCUUCCUUUAGUUAUUCUUCUUCGACGAUAACAUCUGGCUAUCGAUUAUUUGGUCGGCAAUCCUCACUUCAUCAGUUUAUGGGUGGAGGGAAAGCUGCUGAUGUGCUUUUGUGGAAGCGGCAGCAUGUCUCUUUUGGUGUAAUUGUUGUUGCAACAGUUGCAUGGUUUAUAUUUGAGCGGUCCGGAUUACCAUUCUUAACUAUUUGUUCAGAUGUCUUGCUGGUUGUGAUUGUAUUGUUAUUCGUCCAUGCCAACUUUUCUGCUUUCAGAAAUAAACAACCACAAUCAUUACCAGAGCUAGUUUUGUCAGAGGAAAUGGUUAAUAAUGCUGCUGCAUCUUUUCGUGUUAAAAUCAAUAAUGUUCUUCUUAUGGCUCAUGACAUCACUAUUGGAAAAGAUUUUAGACUCUUUUUCAAGGU
rnacentral:misc_RNA from 1 species